AGCGUUUGAAAAAAUAGCUAAACUUGAGAGGUUUUUUUAAUGCGACAAUAGGGAUUUCAUUGAAUUAAAAAUUUAGGUUUUUUAGUCCUAGAAAUUAAAUUGAUAUUAAUUUAGUAUUUUUAUUUCUCAAUUUAUUUAGAAAUUUAGUGGGGUUAAUUUAUUAUUUUUAUUUUUUAAAAAUUAUAAGAUUUUUUUAAUUUAUUUUUAAUAAUAUUUCGAAAUAUCCCAGAAUAGCAGAAAAUAGUUUUAAAUUCAAAAAAUUGUUUUUUUUGUUUAAGUAAAUAAUAAUUUUAUUAUUUCGAAUAAAAAAUAAUUUGGAAAGUAAGGUCAGAAGUUAAUUUUUUGAUUACUAAUACGAUGGAAACGUGCCAGUUUAAUGGCGCCGAGAAAUUUAUAAAGUCNCACGGCCGGAAUAAAAAAUUUUAAAAAUUUUUU
rnacentral:rRNA from 1 species